AUGCAAGUCGAACGGACUUUAUAUGAAGCCUAGCGAUUAUAAAGUUAGUGGCGGACGGGUGAGUAACGCGUGAAUAACCUGCCCUGUACCGGGGGACAACAGUUGGAAACGGCUGCUAAUACCGCAUAAGCGCACGGUUCCGCAUGGAACAGUGUGAAAAACUCCGGUGGUACAGGAUGGAUUCGCGUCUGAUUAGCCAGUUGGUGGGGUAACGGCCUACCAAAGCAACGAUCAGUAGCCGGCCUGAGAGGGUGAACGGCCACAUUGGGACUGAGACACGGCCCAAACUCCUACGGGAGGCAGCAGUGGGGAAUAUUGCACAAUGGGGGAAACCCUGAUGCAGCGACGCCGCGUGAGUGAAGAAGUUAUUCGUAACGUAAAGCUCUAUCAGCAGGGAAGAAAAUGACGGUACCUGACUAAGAAGCCCCGGCUAACUACGUGCCAGCAGCCGCGGUAAUACGUAGGGGGCAAGCGUUAUCCGGAUUUACUGGGUGUAAAGGGAGCGUAGACGGCACAGCAAGUCUGAUGUGAAAGCCCGGGGCCCAACCCCGGAACUGCAUUGGAAACUGUUGGGCUUGAGUGCAGAAGAGGUAAGCGGAAUUCCUAGUGUAGCGGUGAAAUGCGUAGAUAUUAGGAGGAACACCAGUGGCGAAGGCGGCUUACUGGACUGUAACUGACGUUGAGGCUCGAAAGCGUGGGGAGCAAACAGGAUUAGAUACCCUGGUAGUCCACGCC
rnacentral:rRNA from 1 species